GAAACACGGACCAAGGAGUUCAACAUAUGCGCAGGUCGUUAGGUGCUGGUAUACCCGAAGGCCUAGUGAAAGCAAGAGAUGCCAUUCGAUGGUAUCAUUUUGGCAUGAUCCUGGCAACUUAAAAUAUGUUAGGCGCAAUGCCUACCCGUUUAUUGGCCACGCGCCAUGGACGGAGUUAGAGCGCAUACGCUGAGACCCGAAAGAUGGUGAACUAUGCCUGGGCAGGAUAAAGCCAGAGGAAACUCUGGUGGAAGUCCGUAGCGAUUCUGACGUGCAAAUCGAUCGUCUGACCUGGGUAUAGGGGCGAAAGACUAAUCGAACCAUCUAAUAGCUGGUUCCCUCCGAAGUUUCCCUCAGGAUAGCUGGUUAUCGAUAAGCAGUGUCUCCCGGUAAAGCGAAUGAUUAGAGGCCUUGGGACCGAAACGGUCUCA
rnacentral:rRNA from 1 species